rnacentral:rRNA from 1 species
CCUACGGGAGGCAGCAGUGGGGAAUAUUGCACAAUGGGCGCAAGCCUGAUGCAGCGACGCCGCGUGGGGGAUGACGGCCUUCGGGUUGUAAACUCCUUUCGCCAAGGACGAAGCGUUAUGUGACGGUACUUGGAGAAGAAGCACCGGCUAACUACGUGCCAGCAGCCGCGGUAAUACGUAGGGUGCGAGCGUUGUCCGGAAUUACUGGGCGUAAAGAGCUCGUAGGUGGUUUGUCGCGUCGUUUGUGGAAUACCGCAGCUUAACUGUGGGGUUGCAGGCGAUACGGGCAUAACUUGAGUGCUGUAGGGGAGACUGGAAUUCCUGGUGUAGCGGUGGAAUGCGCAGAUAUCAGGAGGAACACCGAUGGCGAAGGCAGGUCUCUGGGCAGUAACUGACGCUGAGGAGCGAAAGCAUGGGUAGCGAACAGGAUUAGAUACCCU